rnacentral:rRNA from 1 species
GGACUACUCGGGUAUCUAAUCCUGUUCGCUCCCCACGCUUUCGCUCCUCAGCGUCAGGUAAGGCCCAGAGAACCGCCUUCGCCACCGGUGUUCCUCCUGAUAUCUGCGCAUUUCACCGCUACACCAGGAAUUCCGUUCUCCCCUACCUACCUCUAGCCAGCCCGUAUCGAAUGCAGACCUGGAGUUAAGCCCCAAGCUUUCACACCCGACGUGACAAGCCACCUACGAGCUCUUUACGCCCAAUAAUUCCGGACAACGCUUGCGCCCUACGUAUUACCGCGGCGGCUGGCAC